rnacentral:rRNA from 1 species
GACGAACGCUGGCGGCGUGCUUAACACAUGCAAGUCGAACGGAAAGGCCCUGCGUUUGUGGGGUGCUCGAGUGGCGAACGGGUGAGUAACACGUGAGUAACCUGCCCUUGACUUUGGGAUAACAUCAGGAAACUGGGGCUAAUACCGGAUAGGAGCUCCUGAUGCAUGGUGGGGGUUGGAAAGUGUCGGCGGUUGGGGAUGGACUCGCGGCUUAUCAGCUUGUUGGUGGGGUAGUGGCUUACCAAGGCUUUGACGGGUAGCCGGCCUGAGAGGGUGACCGGCCACAUUGGGACUGAGAUACGGCCCAGACUCCUACGGGAGGCAGCAGUGGGGAAUAUUGCGCAAUGGGCGGGAGCCUGAUGCAGCGACGCCGCGUGCGGGAUGCCGGCCUUCGGGUUGUAAACCGCUUUCGCCUGUGACGAAGCCGGAGUGACGGUAAUGGGUAAAGAAGCACCGGCUAACUACGUG